AUUGAACGCUGGCGGCAGGCUUAACACAUGCAAGUCGAGCGGGGUGAUGGUGCUUGCACUAUCACUUAGCGGCGGACGGGUGAGUAAUGCUUAGGAAUCUGCCUAUUAGUGGGGGACAACAUCUCGAAAGGGAUGCUAAUACCGCAUACGUCCUACGGGAGAAAGCAGGGGAUCACUUGUGACAUUGCGCUAAUAGAUGAGACUAAGUAGGAUUAGCUAGUUUGUGGGGUAAAGGCCUACCAAGGCGACGAUCUGGAGCGGGUCUGAGAGGAUGAUCCGCCACACGGGGACUGAGACACGGCCCAGACUCCUACGGGAGGCAGCAGUGGGGAAUAUUGGACAAUGGGGGGAACCCUGAUCCAGCCAUGCCGCGUGUGUGAAGAAGGCCUUAUGGUUGUAAAGCACUUUAAGCAAGGAGGAGGCUCUUUUGGUUAAUACCCAAGAUGAGUGGACGUUACUCGCAGAAUAAGCACCGGCUAACUCUGUGCCAGCAGCCGCAGUAA
rnacentral:rRNA from 1 species